rnacentral:tRNA from 1 species
AUUUGCUGCGCAAUACCAUAAUUAAUGAAGAAUUGCUUACUUUUCCACGUUUUCGUGUAAAAUAUUACUCCGAUCAC